GAGGAAAAGAAACUAACAAGGAUUCCCCUAGUAACGGCGAGUGAAGCGGGAAGAGCUCAAAUUUGAAAUCUGGCGGCAUCCUGUCGUCCGAGUUGUAAUCUAUAGAAGUGUUUUCCGCGUCGGACCAUGUACAAGUCCCUUGGAACAGGGCGUCAUAGAGGGUGAGAAUCCCGUCCUUGACAUGAUCUCCGGUGCUAUGUGAUACACUUUCAACGAGUCGAGUUGUUUGGGAAUGCAGCUCAAAAUGGGUGGUGAAUUCCAUCUAAAGCUAAAUAUUGGCGAGAGACCGAUAGCGAACAAGUACCGUGAGGGAAAGAUGAAAAGCACUUUGGAAAGAGAGUUAAACAGUACGUGAAAUUGUUGAAAGGGAAACGAUUGAAGUCAGUCAUGCUCUUUGGGUUAAGCCUUUCGGGGUGUAUUCCAUUGAGUGGGGUCAACAUCAGUUUUGACCGCUGGAAAAAGGCACGAGGAAGGUAGCACUCUCGGGUGAACUUAUAGCCUCGCGUCAUAUACAGUGGUUGGGACUGAGGAACGCAGCAUGCCUUAUGGCCGGGAUUCGUCCACGUACAUGCUUAGGAUGUUGACAUAAUGGCUUUAAACGACCCGU
rnacentral:rRNA from 1 species